rnacentral:rRNA from 1 species
GUGUCAGCAGCCGCGGUAAAACCAGCACCUCAAGUGGUCAGGAUGAUUAUUGGGCCUAAAGCAUCCGUAGCCGGCUUUGUUAGUUUUCGGUUAAAUCCAUGUGCUCAACGCAUGGGCUGCCGAAAAUACUGCAUAGCUAGGGAGUGGGAGAGGUAGACGGUACUCGAUAGGAAGGGGUAAAAUCCUUUGAUCUAUUGAUGACCACCUGUGGCGAAGGCGGUCUACCAGAACACGUUCGACGGUGAGGGAUGAAAGCUGGGGGAGCAAACCGGAUUAGAUACCCGGGUAGUCCCAGCUGUAAACGAUGCAGACUCGAUGAUGCAUUGGCAUAAUAGCCAGUGCAGUGUCGCAGGGAAGCCGUUAAGUCUGCCGCCUGGGAAGUACGUACGCAAGUAUGAAACUUAAAGGAAUUGGCGGGGGAGCACCACAAGGGGUGAAGCCUGCGGUUCAAUUGGAGUCAACGCCAGAAAUCUUACCCGGAGAGACAGCGGAAUGAAGGUCAAGCUGAAGACUUUACCAAACAAGCUGAGAGGUGGUGCAUGGCCGUCGUCAGCUCGUGCCGUGAGAUGUCCUGUUAAGUCAGGUAACGAGCGAGAUCCCUGCCACUAGUUGCUAUCACUAUUCUCAGGAAUAGUGGGGCGAAUUAGUGGGACUGCCGUUGUUAAAACGGAGGAAGGAAGGGGCCACGGCAGGUCAGUAUGCCCCGAAACUCUGGGGCCACACGCGGGCUGCAAUGGUAGUGACAAUGAGUUCCAAACUCGAAAGAGAGUGGCAAUCUCUAAACGCUACCACAGUUAUGACUGAGGGCUGUAACUCGCCCUCACGAAUAUGGAAUCCCUAGUAACCGCGUGUCAUUACCGCGCGGCGAAUACGUCCCUGCUCCUUGCACACACCGCCCGUC